UACUUGUUGCCACUCCGCGUUGCGUAGCUCAGCUGCUCCAUACCACGCACACGAUCCCCAAAGAAGCACACGCGCACGUGGGAGGGGGAUCUGUUAGGUGCGGACACGAUGCUGCGAGCGUCCACACCACUGCUGCGUCUAACCGGCUUCUCCUUAGUCCUCAAUGGCCGCUCUUUGCUACGCCGUGGCGUAGUGGCGACACCACAGUACCCAGUGAACCUUAGCGUUCUUGCGACGGGCACCGCGGCAGUCUCGCCUUUUCGUGCACCACUGGCGUUGUGCGUACGGCGCAGUAGCACUACAGCGCGAACAAGGCAGUGGCGCUCAUCGAAGAUCGCGCGCUCAUGGCGGGAAAGGCCGGCCUCGUCUUCCUCGGUUGCGGUGAAGCGCCAGAAGGCGUCGAGGCGUAGAGGGGUUCCGAAAUCCAGGGGGCAAUCAAGAGCCAUCGGCGUGAAGGCUCGCAAGAAGGCUCGCGGAAGUCUGCGGAAGAAGCGCCUCAGCGCCCACCAGCGACAAGCAAUGAAGUACAACAAACGUGUCGAAGCCAUUGCUCGCCUCUGGAAGGAGCAGCAGCAGCCGCAAAAACAAAGCACUAGCAAGAGGCUUGAGAAGUCCCUCUCGUCACGGCUCAAGUAGUUGAAAAUGGACAGCAUGACCACAAACAGCUCUUCAUCACACACUCUCUUUGUGCGUGUGUCUCCUUGUGUGUGUGCGCGCGCGCUACGCUCUCGAAUCAGCGCCUUUCACACCUCUGCACGCGACUUAGCCUCUUGGUGCAGCGUCACCGCUCCAUCUAAGUUGUCCCCUUGUUGUGUAGCUGCUCAUGAGGCUUGUACGCCUUGCUGUGUCCCUGUAUAAUUACCUUUGCCCAAUCUUUUUUUCUGGUGUGUCUGUGUGCGCGCGCGUGCCUUUGCACUGGCUGGGGCGCACAUUCGUGUCGCUAGGCGGGAUUUCGCCCCUCACUUCUUUCUCGUUGCCUCGCUUCAGCGCUUUUCGGUGACUAGGGAUCUUUGGUGUGUGCUCUUGCAUGAACCGUCCUUGGGCACGGCGUCGCUUUACCAACCCGGUCACGGGCAAGCGCCCCCUCCUCUCUUCUGCUCCCUUGGCGCACAGCUCUUCCCCCCUCAACGGGUCGUCAUGCUGUGUAUGUGGGGCGAGCACAACAGAUGGCAGUCGGAGCGCACGGGAGGAGGAAGAGGUGGGUGGAGCACAUCGCCCCUUCGAGGAGUUGCGCAGUCUCGCACACGUUUCUUUUCUUCUCACAUCGUGCGCCCUGCAUACGCGACGCUCACAUUGGGCAACCACGACUGUGCUAUCGUCUUGUUCUCGCCUGCCUGCUCUUUUUCUGCUCUUCGUUUGGCAGAGUACAAGUCGCAGCACCCACUCCAACAACAGCACAACAUGAUC
rnacentral:misc_RNA from 1 species